rnacentral:tRNA from 1 species
CGGGCUGUAGCGCAGUUUGGCUAGCGCGCUUGGUUCGGGACCAAGAGGUCGCGGGUUCAAAUCCCGCCAGCCCGA